rnacentral:rRNA from 1 species
CCUGUAUACCGGAAACUGCGAAUGGCUCGGUAAAUCAGUUAUAGUUUAUUUGAUAGUGCAACCUACUCGGAUAACCGUAGUAACACUAGAGCUAAUACGUGCGUAAAUCCCGACUUUUGGAAGGGACGUAUUUAUUAGAUUGAUGGCUAACCGGGCUUGCCCGACCAGCGGUGAAUCAUGGUAACUUGGCGGAUUGCAUGGCCUUUGUGCCGGCGACGUGUCAUUCAAGUUUCUGCCCCMRUCAGGUUUCGACUGUAGUGUAUUGGACUACAGUGCCUAUAACGGGUAGCGGAGGAUUAGGGUUCGAUUCCGGAGAGGGAGCCUGAGAAACGGCUNNNACAUCCAAGGAAGGCAGCAGGCGCGCAAAUUACCCAAUCCCAAUUCAGGGAGGUAGUGACAAGAAAUAACAAUGCGGMRSUUCGUGUUCUGCAAUUGAAAUGAGAACAAUUUAAACCACUUAACGAGUAUCAAUUGGAGGGCAAGUCUGGUGCCAGCAGCCGCGUAAUUCCAGCUCCAAUAGCGUAUAUGUAAGUUGUUGCGAUUAAAAAGCCCGUAGCUGAACCUCGGGCAGCCCUGAUGGUCCGCCAAUGGUGAGUACUGUCGCGGGCUGUCUUUCUGCCACGCGCCGUAUCCCGUGGUUUAAUCACCGGGAACGGAGCUUGGCAAGGUUACUUUGAGUAAAAUAGAGUGUUCAAAGCAAGCACGCGCUCUGAAUACACUAGCAUGGGAUAACACGACAUGACCGAUGGUCUAUCUUGUUGGCCUGUAGACCCGUUGGUAAUGGCUAAUAGGGACGGUCGGGGGCAUUCGUAUUUCGCUGUCAGAGGUGAAAUUCUUGGAUUUGCGAAAGACGAACUACUGCGAAAGCAUUUGCCAAGGACGCUUUCAUUAGUCAAGGACGAAAGUCGGGGGAUCGAAGACGAUUAGAUACCGUCGUAGUCUCGACCAUAAACGAUGCCAAUUAGGGAUUGGAGGGCGGAUUCAAUAUGCCUCCUCCAGCACCUUCCGCGAAAGCAAAAUUUAUGGGCUUCGGGGGGAGUAUGGUCGCAAGGCUGAAACUUAAAGGAAUUGACGGAACGGCACCACCAGGCGUGGAGCUGCGGCUUAAUUUGACUCAACACGGGGAAACUUACCAGGUCCAGACAGAAGUAGGAUUUACAGAUUGAUAGCUCUUUAAAGAUUUUUUGGAUGGUGGUGCAUGGCCGUUCUUAGUUCGUGGAUUGAUUUGUCAGGUUGAUUCCGGUAACGGACGAGACCCCAACCUACUAACUAGCCCGUGCUAAUUCUUAGCCCGCCGGCUUCUUAGAGGGACUCUCGGAUAGAAACCGAAGGAGGUGGGGCAAUAACAGGUCUGUGAUGCCCUUAGAUGUCCUGGGCCGCACGCGCGCUACACUGAUGCAUUCAACGAGCCUACCCUGUGCCGAGAGGUAUGGGUAAUCUGCGAAACUGCAUCGUGAUGGGGCUAGAUUAUUGCAAUUAUUGAUCUUUAACGAGGAAUGCCUAGUAAGCGCGAGUCAUCAACUCGCUUGAUUACGUCCCUGCCGUUUGUACACACCGCCCGUCGCUCCUACCGAUUGGGUGUGCUGGUGAAAUGUUCGGAUUGGACGGCCUUCCGUCAGGGGGCCGCUUGAGAAGUUCAUUGAACCCUCUCACCUAGAGGAAGGAGAAGUCGUAACAAGGUCUCCGUAGGUGAACCUGCGGAGGGAUCCAUAGC